rnacentral:rRNA from 1 species
AAAUCAACCGAGAUUCCCCCAGUAGCGGCGAGCGAACGGGGAGGAGCCCAGAGUCUGAAUCAGUGUGUGUGUUAGUGGAAGCGUCUGGAAAGGCGUGCGAUACAGGGUGACAGCCCCGUACACAAAAAUGCACAUAUUGUGAGCUCGAUGAGUAGGGCGGGACACGUGGUAUCCUGUCUGAAUAUGGGGGGACCAUCCUCCAAGGCUAAAUACUCCUGACUGACCGAUAGUGAACCAGUACCGUGAGGGAAAGGCGAAAAGAACCCCGGCGAGGGGAGUGAAAAAGAACCUGAAACCGUGUACGUACAAGCAGUGGGAGCCUCUUAAUGGGGUGACUGCGUACCUUUUGUAUAAUGGGUCAGCGACUUAUAUUCUGUAGCAAGGUUAACCGAAUAGGGGAGCCGAAGGGAAACCGAGUCUUAACUGGGCGUUAAGUUGCAGGGUAUAGACCCGAAACCCGGUGAUCUAGCCAUGGGCAGGUUGAAGGUUGGGUAACACUAACUGGAGGACCGAACCGACUAAUGUUGAAAAAUUAGCGGAUGACUUGUGGCUGGGGGUGAAAGGCCAAUCAAACCGGGAGAUAGCUGGUUCUCCCCGAAAGCUAUUUAGGUAGCGCCUCGUGAAUUCAUCUCCGGGGGUAGAGCACUGUUUCGGCAAGGGGGUCAUCCCGACUUACCAACCCGAUGCAAACUGCGAAUACCGGAGAAUGUUAUCACGGGAGACACACGGCGGGUGCUAACGUCCGUCGUGAAGAGGGAAACAACCCAGACCGCCAGCUAAGGUCCCAAAGUCAUGGUUAAGUGGGAAACGAUGUGGGAAGGCCCAGACAGCCAGGAUGUUGGCUUAGAAGCAGCCAUCAUUUAAAGAAAGCGUAAUAGCUCACUGGUCGAGUCGGCCUGCGCGGAAGAUGUAACGGGGCUAAACCAUGCACCGAAGCUGCGGCAGCGACACUAUGUGUUGUUGGGUAGGGGAGCGUUCUGUAAGCCUGUGAAGGUGGCCUGUGAGGGUUGCUGGAGGUAUCAGAAGUGCGAAUGCUGACAUAAGUAACGAUAAAGCGGGUGAAAAGCCCGCUCGCCGGAAGACCAAGGGUUCCUGUCCAACGUUAAUCGGGGCAGGGUGAGUCGACCCCUAAGGCGAGGCCGAAAGGCGUAGUCGAUGGGAAACAGGUUAAUAUUCCUGUACUUGGUGUUACUGCGAAGGGGGGACGGAGAAGGCUAUGUUGGCCGGGCGACGGUUGUCCCGGUUUAAGCGUGUAGGCUGGUUUUCCAGGCAAAUCCGGAAAAUCAAGGCUGAGGCGUGAUGACGAGGCACUACGGUGCUGAAGUAACAAAUGCCCUGCUUCCAGGAAAAGCCUCUAAGCAUCAGGUAACAUCAAAUCGUACCCCAAACCGACACAGGUGGUCAGGUAGAGAAUACCAAGGCGCUUGAGAGAACUCGGGUGAAGGAACUAGGCAAAAUGGUGCCGUAACUUCGGGAGAAGGCACGCUGAUAUGUAGGUGAAGCGACUUGCUCGUGGAGCUGAAAUCAGUCGAAGAUACCAGCUGGCUGCAACUGUUUAUUAAAAACACAGCACUGUGCAAACACGAAAGUGGACGUAUACGGUGUGACGCCUGCCCGGUGCCGGAAGGUUAAUUGAUGGGGUUAGCGGUAACGCGAAGCUCUUGAUCGAAGCCCCGGUAAACGGCGGCCGUAACUAUAACGGUCCUAAGGUAGCGAAAUUCCUUGUCGGGUAAGUUCCGACCUGCACGAAUGGCGUAAUGAUGGCCAGGCUGUCUCCACCCGAGACUCAGUGAAAUUGAACUCGCUGUGAAGAUGCAGUGUACCCGCGGCAAGACGGAAAGACCCCGUGAACCUUUACUAUAGCUUGACACUGAACAUUGAGCCUUGAUGUGUAGGAUAGGUGGGAGGCUUUGAAGUGUGGACGCCAGUCUGCAUGGAGCCGACCUUGAAAUACCACCCUUUAAUGU